rnacentral:rRNA from 1 species
UACGGAGGAUCCGAGCGUUAUCCGGAUUUAUUGGGUUUAAAGGGUGCGCAGGCGGGAGAUUAAGUCGGCGGUGAAAUUUUGCGGCUCAACUGUAAAAGUGCCUUCGAAACUGGUUUCCUUGAGUGUAGAUGAAGUAGGCGGAAUUUGUGGUGUAGCGGUGAAAUGCAUAGAUAUCACGAGGAACUCCGAUUGCGCAGGCAGCUUACUAAACUACUACUGACGCUCAGGCACGAAGGCGUGGGGAUCAAACAGGAUUAGAUACCCCCGUAGUCCCU